rnacentral:misc_RNA from 1 species
CAGAUCCCAGAAGAGCACUACAGAGUGCCCUAACUAUUGCCAUCGCUUACAUUUUGGGUGGUUUAGUGCCUCUCAUUCCCUACAUGUUCAUUCCAAGAGCUCAAGAUGCUAUGGUUGCAUCAGUCAUCUUAACCUUAAUUGCGCUGUUGAUCUUUGGCUAUGGAAAGGGGUAUUUCACAGGUAACAAACCCUUCAGAAGCGCCUUGCAAACUGCCCUUAUUGGCGCCAUUGCAUCUGCUGCUGCAUUUGGCAUGGCUAAGGCUGUCCAAGCAUGAUCAUUGUUUUGUCAGAAUUUGCCCAUGCAG